GUAAUUUGUCAUCAUUUUUGUGCACUCUUGGAUUGCAGAACAUGAUAUCGUGAAAGAAAAAGAACGAUGAUGAAAAACGGAGAAUAAUGCAGAGCAAAAAGACAUCUGUGGCUGUGUAAUUUGUCAUCAUUUUUGUGCACUCUUGGAUUGCAGAACAUGAUAUCGUGAAAGAAAAAGAACGAUGAUGGAACGGAGAAAUAAUGCAGAGCAAAAAGACAUCUGUGGCUGUGUAAUUUGUCAUCAUUUUUGUGCACUCUUGGAUUGCAGAACAUGAUAUCGUGAAAGAAAAAGAACGAUGAUGAAAAGAACGGAGAAUAAUGCAGAGCAAAAAGACAUCUGUGGCUGGUAAUUCUU